AGCACUUCCCUGUCCAUUAACUAACUGGCAAGACAAAAUGAUACAAGAAUUAUAUUUCUGUACAGAGAAAGAUACAUUUUUUGUAUAUAGAAAGGUAUAACGCAAAGCACACAAAACAUCAAAGAAAUGUUUCGAUGAGCCGAACCCAAUAUUUCCGUAUUAAAAUGUAUUACGAAAAUAACACCAUCAAUUCUAUAUGUGUGGGGUAUAAAAAAAUAAAAAGGAAAAGCAUGGGGCCUGAGAUAAAUCAAAGGAAAGCGUGAGGCCUGAGAUAACCACCGGGAUUCUCUUCCUCCUCACGAUAUCCAUAAUCCUUCCCGUGAUUUCCUCCUUACAUAUUGCCUACAAGGAACGAUCUCUCGAUCACGAGCCCAAAGAAGCAACGAGUUUUGCACACCAAUCCAUCCACCUCUCUUUCAUCCUCUCUCGCAGAGGACUGCCGCAUCUCACACCCAUCCAUCGCAUUGGCCUCCUCCACUGCAACCUCUCCAGCUUACCGUACAGAUAUGUACGUGGUGAACUACCAUCGUCCUCCAUGUCUGCAUCACAGUCCCGGUGGAUUCGGUGGAUCAAUCUGCUAUCAUCAUGGUAAUGAUAUCUUUUUAUAAUUACAUCCUAUUCACGAUUUUACAUCUGAAAGGCAACAUAGUCAAUAGAGGGGAUCCAACAAAGUGAAUCAACAUGCCCUGUGGGACACCGCAAAAUUACCAAGAUGAUCUCCGUGACUUAGGAAAUUCUUUGGAAAACAUCCACCUGAUUACUUGAGAGAAUAGUCAUGCGAGUGAGUCUCAAAGAGUUCACCAAACAAUUGAACAAAGAAAUAGAUAGUGAAAUUUACUUGGAAAAAGAAUGUCCUGAUACCACUAUGUUAAGUAACAUAAGCAGAUGUGUGCAUCCAGUUGUGAUGUACAAAACAUAGGGGUUGAAUGUUAACGACAUGAUAAUAAUAUAUUAUUGGGUUUUUCGGAAAGCAUCAACAAGGGAUGCAAGGACGAGCAUGCGGAAAAUAUGCAGGUUGAAGGCAUAAUAACAAAAGACGAGGAUGCGAACCCUGAGUCAACAAGGACAAUAGAACAACAAGCCAUCAUGGAUGAUACAGAAAAUAUGCAGAUUGAUGAGGUCAUUGUUAUAUUUUCACAUGUCAUUAUUAUUGUUAUUCUGUCGGGACAAAACAUUAUGCAGUUUGUAGUAUAAUGUCAUAUAUACAAUUCUUUACUCACCUUCAUAAUAUUCUCUCUUCUAUAUGUACUGGAUAAUAUUAUAUUAUUGUGUGUUUCAGUUACUAAGCGAGGAAGAAUCAAGUGGAAUAGACGACAAAGAUGAAGUACAGAAAAAUAAUAGCACGCAGGCCACUGAUUGCGAAGUGACAAAGGCAUGAUUUCUUUUCAACUAUCCCAAAUAGUUAUAAUUCUAAUUAUAUUAUAACCUGCAUAGGGAUUACUCUUUGUAAUGUUGCUCUCAUGAAUUAACCUUGAAGGGAACAAGUGAACAAAUGCAACCUACUCAAGACAAUGAAAUAGCACAAACAUUCGACACCAAAGGGGCGGAAACUAUAGGGGACAAGCUGGCAGAAUAAAAUGUACGAGCCGACAAAUAUAAAGUGGAGAAAAAGAAGAGCAAGCAAUCCACUCAUUUCGAGCUGAGAGAGAGCCAUCUUUUCUUUUCCAACUAUGCCCUAAAUAGUUCUAAUUGUAAUGUUAUUAUAUCCUGCAUACGGAUUAUUCGCUGUAAUGUUGCUAUGAGGAAUUAACUUUUCAGGAAACAAGUGAACAAAUGCAGCAAGCUCUAACGACGAGGAAUUAGCUCGGGCAUGGGGCACCGAAGGGGCAGAAACUAUAGGAGGAAUUAAGAGACAAUGAAACAAGUGAACAAAUGGAGGCGGUGAACAAAUGCCCGAUAGGGAAAGGGG